AGGCUUGGCCCCUGAGCACUGGUGGAUUGCAGAAGUAUGCACUGUUCCUGGGAGUAGGGUAAAAAAAAGCCUUGUAAAUCACGGUUCACACGAGAUCUUCCUUGAAGUCGGAUCUUCAGAUAUUCAUGUCGGCCAUGAGCAUGGAAGAGCCAGACCCCAAGGCUUUGAGAAUGGAGGAAGAAAACCAGUGAAAAGAACGGUAACAUAAUUUACUAUAGGUGUUUCUUGUUUAUAAACAUUGCGCCUGGGCACGCCAAUCCGGGCAGAAAGUCAUCUACCAUUAUAGAAUGACUAUCAGAAAGCCCAGGUUAAAUGUAUUGUUUAUUAGUUGUGGUUAGCCUACUAAUCCCCCGUCUAACCAUGAAGGCUUGCAGACACACCCUCAACAUAUUCCCAAACAUACCUUUUGCAUAUUUGAGCCUUUGUCUAUCUAAUUAUUUGACUUUAAGAUGAAAGCUGCUUUCUAAGGUGCUAGCUAUGCUUACAUUACUUUACGACCUGUCACAUUUGAGAUGCACACGUUUGAGAUGCACACUGAACAGUCACAAAAUACUCUAUACUGUACAGGCUAGUAGAUGUUGCUUGCUUCUUUCUGCCCCGAGAUUGCACAGUGCAACAGUGAUGACGUACCUGAGAAAUCCAUGCAUUGAAGACCGGCAAAUAUAUAUAAAAUUAAGGCUUGUAACGUGAACGCUAUAAUAUGAAGGCUUUCUCAUAACUAUCCUGUUAGUGACAUUGUUCUUGUCUUGUUUCUAUCAGUAAUAUUUAUUUUAAUUCAUUGUUUUCUAUCUCAUGUAGGACCUUGAAAACAUGCA